GUCUGGGGAUGUGCUAACUAUCUGGCAGCCCUCCUGGGUUUCUCUCACGUGAGGCAAGAUCAGCACACAUGCGGCAGAGAACCUGUCAGCUAUAACCGUCUGCAGAAUCUUGCCAGCUCAGAGUCUGUACACAACAGGGAAACAUGACCGUCUCAGGAGGAGUGGAGAAAACACGCUGACUGAUUAGGACUCAGCUUUACUCUCUCCUUUUGUGAGCCUUCCUUCUUUUGUUGGACCCACAACCAGUGUCUCUUUGGUGGAACUGCCUCUUCCUCCCUGAAGACCAAAUGUGGGAAAUUCCGCCUGGCUCUCAGGACGAUGUCACUUCCAGUUCCACCCCAGAAGACGUCAGUUCUAGACCAACAGAAGACCCCACCUCCUAAUGACGUAACUUCCACAUCGCAAAAAGUUGCAGCCUGAUGGCCUCAUUUCCGGUUCCGGUCCCAAGAUCCCUCCUCUUCCUGCUUUUCAACUAUAUA